ensembl:lncRNA
CCUGCGACUCCGCUCCGCUCCCCCGCGCGCCUCGCCUGCGACUCCGCUCCGCUCCCGCGCGGCUUCUCCACGCCCUCGGCCGCCGCUCCUCGGUUCGCCCGGGUGAGAAAAUCCCAGGGCGGAGCCUGCGGAGGAGGCGGAGGAAAGGCGGCGGAUCCAGGAUGGGCAGGAGGUGCAGCACUUGGUCCGGGAUUCAGAAAGGAGUUCCCGUCGUGGCGCAGUGUGAAUCCCUCACCGCAAUUUAAUUAGAAGCAUUGCAUUAGAUGGUCAUUCUGAAGAAAACUGCAGGAAAUGGUUUUUCAGGAGCCCCCGUCCCUGGAGGUCGAAGCUCUAGCUCCUCGGAAAGGAUGCGCCUCUUUCUGAGGGCAGGAGCCAGGUGGGUUCACUUCCCUGCGUGGACUGGGGGACCUCCAGUCCCCUCCUGUGUGCCGCGCCCACACAGGGCAGAGCCACCGGCUGAGAAUCCAUUGGGUCUAGGCGGGGGCCGGGCAGGGCGGGGGGAUGGGCNNNNNNNNNNNNNNNNNNNNNNNNNNNNNNNNNNNNNNNNNNNNNNNNNNNNNNNNNNNNNNNNNNNNNNNNNNNNNNNNNNNNNNNNNNNNNNNNNNNNNNNNNNNNNNNNNNNNNNNNNNNGGUGGAGGCUGCUGGGUGCUGACCUGGGAGAAGCGUGGAAGCCGGAGUUCAUUGCAGGGUCUGUGCAGUUUUCUGUACACACGGGUCUGGUGCUUAUUAUAAAACCACUAGGAUAAGUUUCUCUUUGACCCUCUGAGCGGGGCAAGGGGAUACCUGCGAGCUACACAGAUGUGGAAGGAUGGGGGUGCGGGAGUCACUCCUGUUCACCUCUAGGCCCUGUUCCCCAGGUUGCUGCAGGGAAGCAGGCGUCCUGGACUUGAACCUGCACCCUGGGUCCACGUCCAGCCUCCCCAGCUCUCGGGGAAUCGCCAGCCCAGCCAGCUUCACUGCUGACUAGGAGUUGGCUGCUGGUCCUUCGCCCAUUCGUUAUCACUCCCCGCUGGCCAGCCUGCGUAGCCUCUCUAAGCUCCGUCUUCCCUGUGGCAGAGCAGCCGGCCAGGUGCAGACGCGGCCACGGAGCCUCCAGUCAAGGGCGACAAGGGGUCACGUGCCGGGCGGGGCCCGGCUUCCCCAGGAGGAGACCUAGAGGUCGCCAUGUCGUGGGUGGGGGCCAGAGAGGGGGUUUGUCCCCUCCAGAGUGGGACUGACCUCGGGGAGACGGUACUGAGCGGCGGCUUGAGGCGAGAUCUUGAUUCUCUGCUCAGGAAUGGAGCCUGGGCAGCCUGGGAGGAAACCGGGAAUUAAAGCCCCGAGACCCCUGGGGGCUGGAAGCAAAAAGCAGGUUGCCCGAUUCUUAGCCUUCUGAAAGCAAGGGUGUUGCAAGGAGGAGGAGACGGUGAAAACAGGCACAAAGUUUAUGGGGAUCGGGAGGGCAUCGGGAGGGCACACGCCGGGGGAGCAGGGGAGCGGAAGCCCAAGAGCGCACGCAGAGCGAGUGUGGACGCCCCAUGGUGGGGAGCCGCCAAGGGACGUGGGGCAGGCCUUCCGCGUGGUUGUUUUUCUCUGGCCACUUAUCUUGCUUUAUUUCUCACACCUGACCACACCCAGGGCCUCACCUGUGCAUCUUUUCGCCCAGGUGGAUUCCAGCCCGGGGUGGGGGGUAUCAGGGGGGGCUAACUCAUCCUGGGCUGGCACCCUCCCUUGUGACCCCAGGCACCUGUCUGCGCAUGUGUUGUUGGAGCGGUCUGUCUCUGCUCCAGCAGAGCCUGGCGCCUGCUGUUUGCUUUUUCCUUAAAGUGUCAGAGAGAAGCCAGGGCCAGUGCACUCGGCUGACAAGUGGCAGCUGCUCUCAGCCCAGGGCCCCUCAUCAGCCCUGGAAGGCAGGGGGGUGGGGGGGUGGCGGGUCUGGAGGUCAGGGGUUGAGCGGGGUGUCCGAGGCAGGGUGGGGAAGGCUCAGAGGUGUACAGAGGAGGAGUUCCCAUCGUGGCUCAGCGGUUAGCGACCGACUAGAUCCCUGGCCUCACUCAAUGGGUUAUGGAUCCAGCGUUGCCAUGAGCUGUAGUGUAGAUUGCAGCUGAGGCUCUGAUCCUGUGUGGCUGUGGCUGUGGCUGUGGUGUGGGCUGAUGGCUACAGCUCCAAUUCGACCUCUAGUCUCAGAACCUCCAUAUGCCACAGAGGCGGCCCUAAAAAGACAAAAAGACCAAAAAAAGAAGGGUACAGAGGAGGCAGAGCCCACAGAUCUUGGUGGUUUAGGGGUGGGGAGAGGAGUGCCAGCUGGGCAUGUGGCCUUCUCCUUCCACUAGAAUCCAAGGUGACACGCUGGCCAAGUGUGGGGUGGAGAAAGGGACGAGGUGGUCCCCAGGCUGUGGGCCCACAGGUGGCAAGUCCUCGUCGGGCACAAGGCUAAGGGUGCUGGGUGCUGGGGCUAAGGGUGCUGAGUGGGUGAUGCCCCACGUUGCUGAAACGAGAGGUGAAUGCAGAACUGAGUCUGGGGGACCCUUGAAUUCUGGGUGUGGCAGAGGAAAGGCCCAGACGGGAUAGGGCAGAACCUUCCAGCUGCCCCACAGGUGGAGCAUCUAGAACCAGGUGGGCAGAGCAGGACAGAGUCCCUACACCAGGACGUGGUAAAGGAGUGACUUUUGUGACUUUUGCCCAGUGGGCAAAUAAAGCACAAAUCCAGUCGUCCUCGCGGGACGAUGGCACCAAGUCACUGUGACAUCCAGCCCCCAGAGGGGCGCAGAGGCCAGGGCCCCAGACCCCACCCUGCCCCGAGGGCUGUAAGGGAGCAGGACCCUGGGGACCCUGGCUCAGGUCCUCCACCUCCGUUUGUUUAUAGAAAAACCUCAGUCAAGGAAUCAAUUUAAUCAGAGAAAUGAGAAAAUAUAGAGAAGGAGGAAAACAGUCUUUUAGUCAUUCAACAAAGUCAAGAACCUUGAGUUCUUCCCCAAGGACUCGAGGUAGCAUCCCCAGCCCUGUCCUCCGAGCUGUUUUGCAGAUGCCGAAGCCCCACCAGGCGGAAGUCGACUGGAUGCUGCCCCCAGCACGGAAACCCCGAAACCCCCGACCAGCUGGAACCAGAGGAGGAUGACGCCCACUCCCGAUGACCUCACCACCAGCCAAUCAGGAAAAUGUCCACGAGCCGAUCCCGCCCUGCUCCUCCCCCGCUGGGACUCCUCCCUCCCCGCCCCGCGGGGCAGGGGCCACGGUCCUUGCGGCUCUAGCCAGCUGUUUCCUGCUGUUUCCUCGUGCUCCGUCUCCCCGUGACUCUAUUUGGUGUCAGUGCCCAGAGGCGGCCGAGAUUCUGGCAGUAGGGCGGAGGAGGCAUGAGAAAGAGGCCUCACAAAUGGCCUGGCCUGGGGACCCAAGUGCCCCACCCCCUGGGCUGAAAGCAGGGGCUGGUCCCUGAGGCCACCUCCCAAAUCAGCCUGCCCUCCUGCCCAUCCAGCUCAGCGGGGGCUCCUGGGCGGGCCUCCCACACCCCGAGGGGCCUCCAAGGCUGAGGGCUCACAGAUGAGGUGCCCCAGGGACUUUGAUGGGAAGGGGUGUCCUCAUGAAGCCCUUCGGUGUCUGACAAUGAACUAGUCUGUUUAUGUUGAACGCAAACCGCUGGAAUGUCAUAAAACCAUAAAGUGAACAGUGCUUUCAGAGGUGACUUCCCAGAGGCAAGGCCGUGGGCGCUCAACCACGUGACUCCUGGGCAAUCAUGUGCCUGCGUGGGCACGAGCCGGGCCAAGCCUGUCUCCCUGCUUUUAGCAACGCCGGGAGCCCGGCUCUCUCCAGAGGGUCACCCUGGAAUCUCAGCUGCGGCGAGAGGUGGCGGUUCGUUUUCUUUUGACUCUAGGAGUUUGCAGGUUUCAGUUGAUUGGCUGCCCAACUAGAAACACAUCCAGCGGCGAGUUCUUCCUGGCCCAGAAGUGCUGCCGUGUUUGUCUCCCGGCUCGUACGUUCAUUCUGACUGCUGUCCUCUCUCUCCCGGCUCCGGCGCAUUGAUGUUCCGGUCUUGUGCCUCAGCUGUCACACACACGCACACACACACCUGCUGUUGUCAGUGCCCCAGAGUCCUUGAGAUGACCUGUCCUCUGGGUCCCUCCCGUCACGGCGGGGUCAGCGGGGUCGUGUGGACCAUUCACAGGCUUGCGGGUCUGGAUCAGCUGGAGCUGGUCUGCCAGUGACGGGGGAUGUGGGCCGUGGUCGCUGGCAUGAUAGAGGCAUCCAUUUGUCCCUGUCGUUCUGGAGCUUUCAUGCUGCGUUUGGAAGCUAUUUUAUUAGAUGCAGAAGCAUUUUAUUUUAUUUUUUGCUUUUUAGGGCCACAUCUGCAGCAUAUGGAGGUUCCCAGGCUAGGGCUUGAAUUGGAGCUACAGCUGCUGGCCUCCACCACAGCCACAGCAACGCCAGUUCCGAGCUGCAGCUGCGGCCUGCACCACAGCUCACGGCAACGCUGGAUCCUUAACCCGCUGAGCGAGGCCGCGGAUUGAACCCACAACCUCACGGAUACGCGUUGGAUUCGUUUCCGCCACGCCACGGCAGGAACUCCAAGAGGCAUUUUAAAUUGCUCUCUUCUUGGUUGGUCGAGCGUUUGUCAGCAGACAGCGACUCUUUCUCCCUAACCGUGCACUUGUCUUGGUCUCUCUAGUCUGAUAUGAGCAGAGCAACCCCACAAUCCCACCGUCUUUGGCUGGAAUAGCCCUGAGGAGUCAUUUUCCGGCUUUGACUUUCACCCUUGUGCCCCCACAGGCUUUGGGCACGUCUCUUGGGAGGGGAGACUCCAGACGUCUAUCCCGCUGCCCACCUGGUCGUUGAGCCCACUUUGCCUGCAUCAGAUUACGGCUCAGCAUCACCACGCAUGGCCUGGCAGCGGGCAGACUUUCACCGGAAUUUGGACAAGCAGCUUCCCCGGGGUGGGGGCCACCUUCUGGCGCCACGUGUCUGCUGGCACCAGGGCCCCUCUGCGUGCACACCCUCUGGGGGCCAACGGGCCUGAAAGUCCGCAUUUGAUGCCUAGGGCCGGGGGCACAGUCCCAGAAUCCCCGUCACCCAUUUACUCUGUCCUUCGCAAGCCUGGGUCGGGGCGGUCCUGCAGGCAGGGCCGCAGAGGGCGUCAGAGGGUCUGUUCCUUCCAUCGUCAUCCUUUGGGGAAGAGUUAAGCUUUUCCUCCUCUUCGGUGGGGGGAAGGAAGUGUUUUCUGACUCCCUUCCUGGGGCUUGUGGUGGCUUUCAGAUUUUUAACUCCAGGAAAUGCGCUUCCUUCCUCUUCUUUGGCCCUGCCCCUGCCCAGAGGUCCCAGCCUCCAACCCGUGAUCACACCUUUUUUUUUAGCGAAGAUUUUUCCUCGGUUCUUUUUUUUUUUUUACUUUUCUUUUUCUUUUUAGACCCACAUCCCCAGCAUCUGGAGGUUCCCAGGCUAGGCAUCUAAUUGGAGCUGUAACUACUGGCCGCAUGCCACUCUCAUAGCAACACGGGAUCCGAGCUGCAUCCGCAACCUAUACCACAGCUCACGGCAACGCAGGAUCCUUAACCCACUGAGCGAGGCCAGGGAUCAAACCCGCGUCCUCAUGGAUGCUAGUCAGGUUCGUGAACCGCUGAGCCACAGAGGGGACUCUUUUUCCUCGGUUCUUUGCUGUUCCUUUCUGUUCUUGUUCUUCUAACUUCUCUCUGUGUUGGGGAUUGUUUAGAUUUUAAAUUUAAGCCGAAUUUGUUGUUUUCCUUCUGACAAGGCUGCGUUCGAGCAUCUCAUUACUUCGUCCUCCCCUGACCCGGCCUUCAAUACACUUGGGACCUUGCUGUCUUUGUAGCUUCGUUUUAGCAAGAAGCGUGUUUUCAGCAUUCAUCCUUCCUAAUCAAGACCAGAUACCUUUCCAUCCAUCUGAGCGCUCUCUUCCCUUCUUCGUAGAAGUGGCUGCUUUGUUGCCGCUUCCGUGAAGUAGCCUCACCCCUGCCUUUCUCGGGGUGGGGGGGCAUCUGAGCAGGAUCAAGAGUGAUGGGGUGGGGGAGCAGGUGGGGAUGAACCCGGCCCGCAGCUCCUUCCAGGGUUCUUGCCGGGGUGGCAGGUGACCCGCAGCAUCCAGACCUGCUCCCCGCAGAACCCUCACCUGCAAAGCUGUAGAUGUACCUGGGGUUGUUCUGGGCAGAAUUACAUUCAUUUCUACGUCCUUGACAUUUGUUGGUUGGUUUAAUCUCAUAAAAGAAAUGUUCGCAUGUUGAGAUACAGGGCAGAAACUCUGGCUGAUACAUGAGGUAACUUGAAUUUAUUUUUUUUUCCUUUUUAGGGCUACACCCGAGGCAUAUGGAAGUUCCCAGGCCAGGGGUCAAA